rnacentral:rRNA from 1 species
UACGUAGGGACCGAGCGUUGUCCGGAUUUAUUGGGCGUAAAGAGCGUGUAGGCGGCCAGGUAGGUCUGCUGUGAAAACUCGAGGCUCAACCUCGAGACGUCGGCGGAAACCAUCUGGCUAGAGUCCGGAAGAGGAGAGUGGAAUUCCUGGUGUAGCGGUGAAAUGCGCAGAUAUCAGGAAGAACACCCGUGGCUAAGGCGGCUCUCUAGUACGGUACUGACGCUGAGACGCGAAAAGCGUGGGGGAGCGAACAGG